rnacentral:rRNA from 1 species
UACGUAGGGGGCAAGCGUUGUCCGGAUUUAUUGGGCGUAAAGAGCGUGUAGGCGGCCUUACAGAUCAGCUGUGAAAACUCGAGGCUCAACCUCGAGACGUCGGUUGAAACCGUAAGGCUAGAGUCCGGAAGAGGAGAGUGGAAUUCCCGGUGUAGCGGUGAAAUGCGCAGAUAUCGGGAAGAACACCCGUGGCGAAGGCGGCUCUCUGGGACGGUACUGACGCUGAGACGCGAAAGCGUGGGGAGCGAACAGG